GCCCUCUCUCCUUUUAUAUGUCUUAUGUAUAUUGUCUAAAUGCAUUAAUUAAACCAUGUACAAGAUACACUGGUGCUCAGAGGAAAGAGGAUUAUUCUGCCUAUUAAGGGGCCCAGCUGAGAACUUAGAAGAGUAAAUGAGAAAGAUAUUAUAUUAGUCUGUUUUCACCCUGCUAAUAACAACAUACCCAAGACUGGGUAAUUUAUAAAGGAAAGAGGUUUAAUUAACUCACAGUUCUACAUGGCUGGGGAGGCCUCAUAGUCAUGGCGGAAGGUGAAUGAGGAGCAAAGUCACGUCUUGCAUAGUGGUAGGCAAGAGGUGUGUGCAGGAGAACUCCCCUUUAUAAAGCCAUCAGAUCUCCUGAGACUUAUUCCUAUCAUAAGACCAGCACAAGAAAGACCCGCCCCCAUGAUUUAAUUACCUUCCACUGGGUCCCUCCCAUGACAUGGGAAUUAUGGGAGCUACAAUUUAAGAGGAGAUUUGGGUGGGGACACAGCCAAAAGAUAUCAGAUAUUUUUCCUCCCC
rnacentral:lncRNA from 1 species